GACGAACGCUGGCGGCGUGCCUAAUACAUGCAAGUAGAGCGCUGAAGGAGGAGCUUGCUUCUCUGGAUGAGUUGCGAACGGGUGAGUAACGCGUAGGUAACCUGCCUGGUAGCGGGGGAUAACUAUUGGAAACGAUAGCUAAUACCGCAUAAUAGCAGUUAUUGCAUGAUAACUGUUUGAAAGGUGCAAUUGCACCACUACCAGAUGGACCUGCGUUGUAUUAGCUAGUUGGUGGGGUAACGGAUCACCAAGGCGACGAUACAGAGCGGAACGGCGAGGGGGGUUAGCCGACCUGGGAGUGAGACAGGCCACAGUGGCAUAGGGGAGGGACCCGGAGGGCAUCUUCGGGCAGCGGCGGAAGUUUGACCGCGAUAGGCGGCGGGAGGGAGGAGGGUCUUCGGAUCGGAGAGGUCUGUUGUAAGGGAAGAAAGCGUUUUAGGCUGGAAAGUAGAGACUGUGACGGUAUCUGACCAGAAAGCGACGGCUAACUACGUG
rnacentral:rRNA from 1 species